rnacentral:rRNA from 1 species
CCUACGGGCGGCAGCAGUGGGGAAUAUUGGACAAUGGGGGGAACCCUGAUCCAGCCAUGCCGCGUGUGUGAAGAAGGCCCUCGGGUUGUAAAGCACUUUCAGUGAGGAAGAACGCCUGGUGGUUAAUACCCAUCAGGAAAGACAUCACUCACAGAAGAAGCACCGGCUAACUCCGUGCCAGCAGCCGCGGUAAUACGGAGGGUGCGAGCGUUAAUCGGAAUUACUGGGCGUAAAGCGCGCGUAGGUGGCUUGAUAAGCCGGUUGUGAAAGCCCUGGGCUCAACCUGGGAACGGCAUCCGGAACUGUCAAGCUAGAGUGCAGGAGAGGAAGGUAGAAUUCCCGGUGUAGCGGUGAAAUGCGUAGAGAUCGGGAGGAAUACCAGUGGCGAAGGCGGCCUUCUGGACUGACACUGACACUGAGGUGCGAAAGCGUGGGUAGCAAACAGGAUUAGAUACCCGAGUAGUC